GGGGAAUAUUGCGCAAUGGGGGGAACCCUGACGCAGCAACGCCGCGUGGAGGAAGAAGGCCUUCGGGUCGUAAACUCCUGUCUUCCCUGACGAUAAUGACGGUAAGGGAGGAGGAAGCCACGGCUAACUACGUGCCAGCAGCCGCGGUAAUACGUAGGUGGCGAGCGUUGUCCGGAAUUACUGGGCGUAAAGGGUGCGUAGGCGGAAUAUUAAGUCAGAUGUGAAAAUCCAGGGCUCAACCUUGGAAUUGCAUUUGAAACUGGUAUUCUAGAGUGCAGGAGAGGAAAGCGGAAUUCCUAGUGUAGCGGUGAAAUGCGUAGAUAUUAGGAAGAACACCAGUGGCGAAGGCGGCUUUCUGGACUGUAACUGACGCUGAGGCACGAAAGCGUGGGGAGCAAAC
rnacentral:rRNA from 1 species